rnacentral:misc_RNA from 1 species
UCCGAGUUGACCCCGGCAGUCUCCCAUGAGUCCCCGGCAUAACCCGCUGGCAACAUGGAACGAGGGUUGCGCUCGUUGCGGGACUUAACCCAACAUCUCACGACACGAGCUGACGACAGCCAUGCACCACCUAUCGCAGACCCUUUCGGACACUGCAUCUCUGCAGGGUUCCUGACAUGUCAAGGGUAGGUAAGGUUUUUCGCGUUGCGUCGAAUUAAACCACAUGCUCCACCGCUUGUGCGGGCCCCCGUCAAUUCCUUUGAGUUUCAACCUUGCGGUCGUACUCCCCAGGCGGGGUACUUCCUGCGUUAGCGCCGGCACCCAGAGGGUCGCUCCCCCAGGCACCUAGUACCCAUCGUUUACGGCGUGGACCAC